CCGUGCCGAGCUUUUGUCUCUUACGCGGGUCUGCCCCGCUCGCAGGCCGCUCCCUCCUCCCGUCUACGUAGCCGGAGCCGUUCGCGAUCAGACCACCGCGCCCCACGCCCCGCCCGCGCCCCUCCCUCGGGCCUCCCCCCGCACAGACGUUGCUUCGCUUCGACAGCGGCAGCCGGCGGCCGCUGCGGCCCCGCCGGCGGCAAUUAGGGCGUCUCGGCGCUGGGGCCAUCGCGCCGCGCCAGCUGCGCCCCCCCGGGCUCCUCCCAGGGCUCUCCCGGCUACCUGGGAUUGUGUUUUCCAGCCUGGAGCUUGGACGAGUAAGGUCUCUGUGUCAGGGAACAAAGAAAAACAAAGCAUUUGGAAGAAUUGGUGGAAGUUCUCCAAGCAAAGAGUAAUGUGGAUGGCAGCUGAGAUACCUGGAGACGCUCAGAUACAUAUAGACAUCUGGAAGUGAAUUCUGAUUUCACUUUCUAGCUACCGCAAGUUUUCCCACUUGGAAUUCCCAGCUUUGAGAUGCUCCCCUUGGAGUGCCACAAGAAGCAAAGGAAAGGCUGGACAACACAGGUGACCUCAGCUGUUCCUCAGAAGUCUUGCCCUUGAGCCCUUGCACCAACCUGGUUGUCCUGGACACACUCUGAUAAUCAGAAGUCCUUCCUGCAUUGUGGCAGACCCCAGCACUCGAGGUCAGUAAUAAAUGGAACAAUGUCAGCUAACAAGACCAAGCAGAGUAAUGAGAGCAUGUCUGCCUGACAGCAGUGUCAGGAGACGUGGUUGAUGUGCGGUGUUUUCAGACAGAGCUCGAACACACAGAGACAGGUCCUUCAGAAGGGGGAUGCAGGGGAUGUUGGAGUGGACAGUGUGACCACUGCCCACACAGAGGGCCCUGGGCCAUGAUCUGGGCAGCUGACCCGUGAACUUUCUGUUAAAAUCCUAAUGCCACAUUAAAAUAAGAACAUACCGAAGGCGGUGGCAGUGAUGGCAUUUGCUCCACAGGAGAAUCUGGGGUGUCUAUCAGAAUAAGGAUCACAUUCAUUCAUUUUUGCACCAUUUAUCCAUGCCUACAGGCGCUGCACACGCACUGCCAAGGCUCGGGCUGUUUCUAGCCCCAGCAGAACACGGGCAGCCCAGCGCUCUUUCACGGCGCCCGCAGACUCCCAGGGCCCCCCCCAGAGCUCCGGUGGGAGAAAGACACCUCGGGAUGCCUGAGGAUCCUCAUCCCCGGCACUCAAGGAGCCUGGGGAGGCACAGCCACGGCCACAGGAGCCGCUCGGGGUGGUACCGGACCGUGUUUUCACGGCGGAAGCCAAAGGCGCGGCUCGGCCCGGCACGCCCGUCCCCCUCCGGCAGCCGCAGCGGGGCCGGGGCCGGCGCAGGGUGAGGGGACGCGGCCCAAGCGGCGGCCGGGGGGCCCGGAGGAAGCGGGGGAAGGGAAUGGAAGGGAAGAGAAGGGCGCGGAGGGAAGAAAAAGAAAUUUCCAACAUUUCAGUAAUCAUACUUUCCAUCCUCGCUGUCUUCUGGAGUUGCUGCUCCUUCCCACCCCCAUGCACAUGCUGGGGCAGGCUGUGCCUUCCUGGUGUUCCCAGCCCAUGCCCAUGUUGCCUAUGCUCUGUGCACUUGGAGAUGAACAGAUCAGGUACAGGAACAGUGCAGCUCUGUCACUCCCUUCCAAUUACGUUAAAAUUAUUAUUAAUAGUUUACUUUCACUGCCUCACAGAUGAGAAGGAGCUCGUUUUUUUUCUUGGCUUACUUUGAUUAUUUACGUUCCCAUAUAUGAAGUUCAGAUUUGGACUUGCUCCAUCCUUUUUGUAUUCUGUCUUUUGUGGAAAAUGGUAGCCCACUGCCCACUCUGGAUAAAAAUAGAGCUUUUUACUUUCUUCAAAUUAAAAGUUGGUUGUAAUUUCUAGUAUCAAUCUGUCAAAUACACAGCUGGUGGAAUUCUGCCAUUCAUAUACUAGAAAAUAUUAAAGGAAGAAAAAGUUGUUUUUAGGGGAGACCUAGGCAUAGUGAAAUAUUCUUAGUGAUACCUGAGGGGCUCCCACCAACCAAGUAGGAAACAUUUCAGGUUGGAACACUGCUAUUCUAGAAUGUGGUCAUUGACUUUUCUGGUCACAACAGAUGGAUCCAGGGAGCAGUUAUGGGUAUGUCUACACAGGGAGUUUGGUGUCUGAUCUGGGCUAGUUUUCAGGAGCAUCCUGAAAAAUUAGAACUGAUAGGACAAUUCUUAGGAAUCUGGUGUUAAGACUGCUUCUAUAAAUUAAUCACUAAUUAAAAUCUGGUAAAGUACUAAAGCAGUUGAGGAUUAUCUUGUGAUAAAUGCUUUGUUUCUUGUAUGAAGUCAAGGGUUUUUGAUGAAUUAAGGAACUAUUCUUUAAAGAACUAUUGCUACAACAGACAGCAUGUCUGAAAGAACAAAAGAGAAGUUUUACAAAGUGUCAGAAGUCCAGAAUAUAUCUGCCUCAAAGUGGUGCCUGUAUAUCAAGACUCAUGUAUACUGAGAAAAAUAAUUCCUGUUCACAGUACUGUAAAAUAAUAAGUAGUGAAUCUGAUAAACAGCAUAUGCAGACUUGUACAAACCUACAUAAACCAAAUAAAAAUAUUUUUGUAAAAUGCUUAAGAGAUUUUCCUAAUGGACAAAAAUCCCUAAAUAGACUUGCAUUUCAAUUCCACGUCAACAGUUCAUACAACUAUUGAGAAAGUUUAAUGUUUCAUCUGAUCUUUGGGUUAAUUGCUCCUGAUAUGUAUCCACACUUUCCAGGAAUUUGAAGACUCUUCUUGUUUAGAAGAAUGCCUGCUAAAGCCCAUAUUUGUCCUAAAACUAGCACAGUCAGAAUCAGUUACCACCAAGUUGCCAAUGAAGCUGCUGUUGUGUUUAUGUCACAGUGCUGAACUCUGUGGAUCUGAAGUUAUUUAGAUUACAGCUAGAAACUCAAAUCAAUUCUGCCACUGCCAUAUGAGGACUGUCUUCUUCUACCUUUGACUGUUUGGGUUACUAUUAUCAGAACUUUCUGUAUUUUUAACCAUAUUCUUUAUCAGGCUACUGCAAUAUGAGAGAUUGUUCUGACUAACUACAAACAGAGGCUUAAUGCUUUGAAAAGCAUUAACAUGAGCAGGAUAAAUUCCUCCAGCAUUGUGCUGGAAAACUGAAGCAGGAGAUGUUUGUUCUUCCCAUCAAGACUGGAUGAAUGUGUUUGUCGAGUCUUUGUUUUGAUGUUCUUAUCUUCCAGCAAUUUCACAGGGCUCACUUAAGAAGUGUAAUGAAGUGUCAUAUCUUGCUAAUAACAAUAAAUAUGAGUAAGGAAAUGAAAAACUAGAUAAAUUUAGCUGGGGUACACGUCAAUAGUACUGCUGUCAGCAGCCACACGCCCAGCCCACAAAGCUGUUCUUCUCCAUGGAAGAUUUUUUCAUAGGCACAAAAGGUUUUGUGCCUAUGAAACAUUUUGUUUAGUCUUUUUUGCAAAUGACACAAAUUCAUGGUUCUGUGAACUCACAGAAUUAGUAGAAACCAGAAUUACUGAGGUUCUUUGUUCAUAAUAGAAAUGAAGCUGCUAAGGAUUUUGUUAUGGAGGAGUGUAUACUUACUGAAUGUUAACUUUUACAGUAUGAACUGGUAUAGAAUGAAUGACUUUACAGUAGACUUUCAAAAUGUAUUUUAAUUAGGGCCAAAAUAUGAUUAGUGAAUAUUAUAGAUUUGGGGUUUAACUAUGAAAAAGCGUGUAAACAUUCUGAAGAAUGUUCUUACUAUCUUUGUUUAGCUGUUUGUUUAUGAACUAAAAAUAGGAGGGAAAAAAUAAGCAUUUCUAGAUAUACAACCAGGGGAAAUGAUCAAAGGCGGGAAGAACAAAGAAAAUAAGAGUAGAUAAUACUAACAAGUAGGAUUGGGUAGGUCUGGACACAUAGCCAAGAGCCAUAAAGGACCAGAUGGAAGAAGUGACACACAGAGAAACAAAGCAGGGUUAAGACUGAUACACAAAUCCCGUGUGAAUAUAUUUAUGCUUUUGGCCUUUACACAACUUUAUAAUUUCAAUUAGACAUCUGUUCCUCUCUUACCAUGUUACUGAUAAAAGUAGGACAUGCCCACCCUUUCACAGCUUUAAUGUAAAGAAAUACUGAAAAGAAAAGGUUGGGGGCAGGGAUAUACCAGGAAAGCAGUCCAAGGCAAAUAUUAUUAUGGAGUUACAUAUAAGCAACCUUUACAACUGCAUUAUGUAUUCUGCUUCCAAGAAGCUAUAACAAACAUUUGACAACUCAGUUUAAUAUGUAAACACCAAAACUAGACAAGAAAAGCAUGAAAAUCCAGAAUAUUUCAAGAGGUAUGGCUUACCUAGGCAGAAGCUUGCCAAUUAGAGGAUGAAGUAAGAGCUCUUUUUCUCGUUCUGCCUGUUGCUGCAGUUGUUAUGUGAACAGCAGAACUGUAAACAAUCUUAUCAAGCAUAAACCUGCAUUUCUUAGUGGUUGCAAGGUAAGCUACAACACAAACACACACCCAAUUGUGGCAGAGAAAGACAUUUUUGGGUAAAAUGGUUACUGAAGAGAUUAUUAAAAGCAAAAGUCUAGCAUAUGUACAGUACUUUAGGGCAUGUUGGAAGCAAUUCUAAAUUGUUUGCAUAUCCAGUUUUAAUAUAUUCCAGAAUUUUGAGUCCUUGUGUAUUACCUGAGGCAGUGACCCAGUCCACAGGGUGGCUGCUGGAGACCCUGAGCACAGCAGAACAUGUCUGGCAGACAGUAUUCCAGACAUCUGGGAGAACAAGAAGCAGGAUUUCAAACCAUUCCCCUACAGUAAUGAACACAGGGAGGCCAUAGGAAAUACUGCCCCAUGAGCAGGGCUAGGGAGCAUCCUGUGAUGAGCAGCAGAAGAGAUGCACAUUGUUCUCUGUGACUCCUAUACUAGAGCAGGUGACAGAGUGGCACUGCAGGCUGGAAUCUGGCUCCUGUCUACUUCAGCAGAAUUACCAUCAGUCUAGAGGAAUUGGAAAGUUUAACUUUGAAGCAGUUGCAGCAAAGAUCUACAAGGGAAGCUUGGUCACAGUUAACCUGUACUGAAUCUGACUGACUUAGGCUUUGAAAAUUAACUGGAGUAACUUUUAUAUCAAAAAAAUGGCUAAAAGCUGCCAUUCAAGAUGUUAGUCUAUUUUUUUGAAUAUUUAUAACCUUCAAAUCACUGUUAGGCACUGUUUGACAGAACGCUGGGCUUUGACUUAUUUGGUCUAUGAUAAACAUCUUUAAUACAAAACUACAUUUUUGUUUGUUAUUAAUCUCACUGUGCCAAACCAGAGCAGCGAGAGCUUUGCUUUGCAAUUUCCUGGCUCCUGAAGAUACCCUUCCUGCUUUUCAGGUUCAUGUUAUUAAUAUAAAGUCCUUAUAGCUGAAAGAAAUGCAAACAGAAAUUUCCUCUUGUCCUUCAAUUCUGGAAUAAACUUUAUAUUCUUUAUAAUAUUAUGGAAAUAUUUACCCUAACCAGCUAUUUAGAGGUAUUGACAUUUGAAUGAUAAAGCACUAUUUUCAAGGAAUGCUGCUCACAUCAUAUCCUAUGACAAAUUCAUCAUGAGUGACCAUGAAAACUAGUCAGGGAGUUGUAACUAUGUAGUGGGUCACACCCAAUGUAAUGAAUUCAACUGUUAGAGUUUUCUUUUUAAAGGAGGUUGUUCACUUGGAUUCAUCCCUCUUUCUAACUUAUUUUUUCUUAAUUAAAACAAAUCUAGGAAGGUCUGCCAGACAAAAGAAUUCAGAGUGUCUUGAACAACUAAACAAGUAACAGUUUAAGGGCUUUUUUUCCCCACAGAAUAGCUCAGUUAUCUUUGCUAUAAUUUUGUAUACUUCACAGCUUGCCUAGAAUAGACAGUGCAGUAACAAAAGUGUAUUGAAAAACAGAGUCUGGCCCUGAGAGUUCUCCUGUAGCAUAGGACAGUGCUUGUUCAUGGCUGGACAGCCUCUGUACUCUGUUGCAGCACAGAAUGACCCACAACCCAAGGGUGAUGAAAUGCUGGAUUUGGACCAUUUACUAAUUUUAUUGUUUGUGCAAAAGACAAUUCCUCCUGAUAAAACAACAAAAUGUGGUUGUUUCUCUCUUGUGCAGUGCUUGGGGCCACAUGUUGAACACUACUGGAGAUUUUCCUCCAAAGAGAGAAUUACUACAUUGCUUCCACAGCUUGAAUAUGGACCUCAAAGCAACAUGAGGUCCUUUAAAAUGGACCUCAAAGAACAGUUCUAGAGGCACUUGUCCAUUUUUACAGCAGCUCUUGAAAUUAGAGGAUUUGAAUCACCUGAAUUUUCCACAUGGGGUCUCUCACCUACCAAGAUUAAAUUCACCAUUAAUUUUAGUAAUUUUGAAUAAUGAAUAGCUUUUAAACUAUUCCAUAGUGCUCAAAUCAUAGUUCUAAAUUUAGGCACACAUAUCCCGUAUUUAAAAGAGAAGGGCUCAAAUUGCAUGUCAGAAAUCCCAAAAAUGAGAAAUGCAGUAUUAAUGGCUACCAGUGAAAAAGCCAGGUAUAAGUCAUUUACCAUUGCAUUUCAAAAACAUGCUAUGACAAAGACAUGAAUAAAUCAUAUUGCUCCAGGGAAUACAUUAAGUGCUUUAAAUCUCAUUUCUCUUCCUUCAACUCCUACUUUCCAGUUGCUGAAACAAAUGAAACGAGGGUUCUUGGAAAACAGGUCCUUUUAGUAAACAACAAGAAUCUUAUUGCAUGGUCUUCAUGCCCAGAUGAUCAUAUUUAUUAUUACUGUUAUUAUAAGCACACAAGAGCUCUACUAACAGACAAAAUUGUGUCAAGACACCAAGCAAAGAGAGAAAAACAUGACCUAUAUGACAGAUAGCUUAACAAUCUAAGACAAGAAACAACAGGCUACAGUGCCAGGGGAGUUCAAGGAAACUGCACAAGUUCACAAGAUUAACCCUUGUUUCAGCUCACCAGCAGCUCAGCUCUUGUUAAAUUUUUUGGUGAGCACCACUGCAAAGGACACUUGAGGAAAGAUUUGAAUACAAAAUUAUUCCAGUGUUUGCAUGUUUCUGUGAAUUUCUUCAUGCUGUGGAGUCAAUGUAGAGGCUGGCAUGGCAUAAUGAAUUAACACCACAGGCUGGUACUGUGACUGAACAGAAGUUCACUCUCCUAGCAGCAUCAACAAGACCAGCAUACAGCUACUAUUUGGCUAUGUCUGCCUGUCUACAACUAUUUGUGGAGGUACAGUCUAUAAAAAAAUUGUGUUUCAUAACUUGCUGCAAUAUAAGUCACAUUUAUAUCAGCACCCUUUAAACAGUAAAGAAAAAACCACAAGAAAUAACUCAUGCUACAUUCCUACCAUAAUGCCACUGCUUAGCCUGGAAGGUGAACUGUGAAUUUACUUGUAUUUUAUUUACAUAACUUUGCAUGACAGGAAGGAGCAGGAGGAAGAUAGAGAUAGCAUGAAAAACCCUGCAAUCUAGGCAUUUAUGGGGUCAAGUGUAAAUCACUACCUUGUAUGGCCACUCAUGGAAGGAAUGGCCAUUCCUCCUCGGCUUAGUCAUGCUCAAUACACACCUGGAUCCUGGGGUGGACAAUGCUGCAGGGCUCAGCAGCUGCCUUCCUUGACUGUGGGAAAUGUCAGAUGGCCUUAAUAACAGGGUUUGCCACCUGUUUCUCCUCUAAUUAUUCAUUAAUAUUAUAAGCAUCCUAAAGUUGAGGAUGAAAGUGUGAACUAGGGCUAGCAUUUAUCUAGAAUCUUAUUAAUCUGCAUAUAUUUGAAAUUUUCUUAUCUGAAAGAUGUCUGCCUUUAUUAAGUCUGAAAUUGUUAGAUACAUUGUGUUGCCUGAAAUGUAUGCCAAUGAAAGGACCAGACUUUAGCUUUGUAGCAGAGCCAUGACAGCAGCAGUUUGCAGUACCAAUUUUCCACAAAAAUAUACAAGGGGUCAGAACGUGCCCUCCCACAAAAAAACCUACCUACAGAGACAAUGGAAAAUUAAUUUAGUGGUGAAUUUAUCCCAUUUUUCCCACUGAAUGUUGUGAGGGGAAUGAGGUUACCUCUCUAGGUUUUGAAGAACUGUCCCAGACUUAGUCUCCAGGAAUGCAUAGAGCCCAAAAAGCCACCAUGCUCCAAGAUCAGCCACAUGGAGCCCACAUGCUCCUGUCAGAGCUGUUUGCUCGAGGCAAUCAGGAACUCCCUCGGUUGUGAUGAUGCCAUAUCUGAUCCCUUCCUUCCUGAAUAUAAAUAGUUUCAUUCUCAAGAAAAGCCAUUGAGAUAUUCAUCAUAAUUUCACGUUGCUAUUUUUAAAAAAUAGAUACACAGCUUUGUCAUGCACAACUUCCAACAGGAAAUAUUUUCAGUUUGUGGGAACAUAACUCUUACUGACCAAUAGAUUAUUCAUGCCCCAUUUUUUAUGUUUUAUUAUGGUUAUCCAAUUUAAUAUGGACAAUUUAAAAUUACCAAUUUUAUAAUUAUGAAGUACUGAAGCAGUUUGGUUAUAGUCUUUGUUAUUUCAUUGAUUAUUAGUAACUGACUAGUGAAUUUAAAGGAUGUUUCAACUGGUAAUGCCACUUUUUAGCCUGUGGACAAAUUUGUUUCUGUUAAUAUUUAAUAGCUUUUAUGAGGGAACAAGUCUUUGAGAACAACUGAGUUUAUUAAUUUUUUUCAUUUUGUUAUACCAAUGGUACAUAUUAGUUGAUUCACAAACAUUACAUUUUCAAUUACUGGCAUUUCCUGAACAUAUAAAUACAGAGUUACAUUCUUUGAAUUCUGGAAAUUUCUUUUGUCAAAUUUCCCAGAAAGAGCUAAAGGGUAAGAACAUUAUCCUUCUGCAUGCAUUUUCAAUGAUUUUCAUUAUAUUUUUUUUUCAUAAUCAGAGGUGUAGGCAGGUCCCAUGGAAUACACACCAAAAGCCUCUCCACAGGGUACAGCCUCUCCUUAGGGUGACAGAAGCAAUUCACAUGUCUCAUGAGGGGAACAUGCAGCAGAUCUACUGCAAACAGCUAUAUGAGGCUCAGGAGAAAAAUGCCACAGCAUUGUUGAAGGACACAGUCCAGCUACAGAGGGACACUGGCUUUUGUCUCUUCCUCUUCUGUUAAGCAGGAAUACUUUUUGCAUCCCUUCCCAUUCACUUCCUAAUUUCCCAAUAAUGUAUUAACAUACUUCUGACAAUGUUAAAAACCAGUCCUUUAUACUGGUGAAUGAUGAAUGUUUCUAAGCGUGGCCUAGCUGUUCAUCCCAAUUUUUGGGAUAGGCCACCAUCUAUUUUGCAUUUCCAUAAAGUUAGCACUGAUGAUAAAUGCAAGAACCAAAUACUGAUCUUAACCUAAAUCAGCCCGUCUGCAAAUAAAUAAAGGCUGAGAGGGAAGCAGUGGCAAUGCAUGCUUUUUUGGAGUCAAAUCCUUUUUAAAUUUUUUUUUUUUAUUUCAAACCAUUAUAAACAGCCUUUUCUGAUUACACUGAAUUUCUUAAGAGGGGCAUCAGGUACUUCACUAAAAGAUAAUGUCACAUAUCAUUAAGUGCUAACAAUUAAGUGUAGUUUUGUUAAAAUACACAGUGUGUCAUUCUUUUGAGUAAGAAAUAUAUUAAAUCCACAUUUUACAAAUCUGCAGCUUUCUUCCAGCUUAUAUCCUUCAAAAAUAAACAUGAUUGCUUAACAAUAAGUUACAAAUAAGAAAAUAUGCAUUCCUGCUCACCCACGUGUUCCUGGUAUAUGUCAUAGAAAAAUAUAACAUGCACAAGAAACAGAACCUGGAAUCACUGUGAAGUCUUCAAAGCCAUUCCCUGACAAAUUUAGAAAAGGAACUCAAUGUAUGGGAAAAUUUGGGUUUUCAUACUUAAUUUCAAAUUUUUUACUUUAUCCUUUGCUGGUGUCAGAUAUAAGGAUGUCACAACAGCUGCCGGUGGUAGUGAUUGACACCAUACAGAAAAAGCUUUGAUCUGAAAGGCUGGAAAAUGUAUUUUCUAAUCUGAACAAUACCUACGAUUCUAUGAAGCAAAGGAUAAGCAGCAGGAAAAAAACCCAUUUCUUCCUUCUAUGCAAACAAUUGUGAGACAGUGUGCUGAUAUAAUUUUUGUCUAAAUCUUGACUCAGAUGCUUGUAUGUUGCUUUCAUUCUAACAGUACACACAUAAUUCCAGCCAAACACAUUUUCCUAAUUUAACUGUAGAUUUACUAUAGUAUUAUGGAAUUAUGUACUUGUAAAAACACGUGUGGUGUCUGUAUUGUGUGAAGUCUGCACUAUUACAGGUUUCCAUAUUAAAAAUUGGUUUUGGUAACAAAAAAUAAGUACACAAAAAUAUACAGAACCCAAGCUGUUUAGAAAUACAAUUACUCAAGCUUUUAAGUAAAGCACAUCUCUUUAAUAUAUAGUCCAGAAGCCAUUCCAUCCUGAAGUUAUAUUUACCAACCCGUCUUCAGCAGCCAAUUAUUUCCCUUUGUUUUGGCUAGGCAAGGAAACGUACUCCAAACAUAUGAAACAGUGUUUUGUAUGCUUUCUGUAUGAUGUUUAUAGAAAUCUCAGUAGUUAAUAAAAAUUACAAAGAAUAAUAAAUUAAAUUAAUUAUUCAUACUCAAAGUUUAGUUAAGCAAUUUAUUUCAAAAUGUUUGGGGAAUUGUACAGAUAAGAGUUAUAUGUAACAACUUUUCUAAGUUGCUACAUACUUAGUUGAAUAUUUUCUUCUAAAUAGUUGACAGUAGCAUCUUCUGAGAAGUUAGAGAGGCACUUCUUGGAGAAGAGGGGACAGAGAAAAAGGAGGAAAGAGGCAGUAUCUGAACAACAGUCCUUACACAUUUGCAAUGUAGACAGUUUUGUGCUUCUCAAUUGCUGCUA